rnacentral:tRNA from 1 species
UCCCUGGUGGCUCAGACGGUAAAGUGUCUGCCUAUAAUGCGGGAGACCUGGGUUCGAUCCCUAGGUCGGGAA